UCUGGCCCUAGAGGCGUUGCAGGUGUGGCUGCUGUGUCACAUGUGCAUCAGUAGGUGGCAGAGAGGAGAGAGGCUCUGUCUGUGCUCGGUGCCCUGACCUGUGAACAUCUGAAUAAUUAGUAGCCUAAAAGU